rnacentral:tRNA from 1 species
CCUUAUACGAUGAUUAUUGCGAUGAGUGUUCACACAGAUUGAUACGGUUUAUAACGUUAAGAGCAAUGUUGGGUCCGUAGCUCAGCUGGUUAGAGCGCUCGCCUGAUAAGCGGGAGGUCGGUGGUUCAAGUCCACUCAGACCCACCACUAUCUUCCCAAAGAUAGCGGGUCAGACAUUGAAUCUUUAUGGGGCUAUAGCUCAGCUGGGAGAGCGCCUGCCUUGCACGCAGGAGGUCAGCAGUUCGAUCCUGCUUAGCUCCACCAUCUUUAAGUAUUUUCUUGAUACAGAAUAUUUAAAAAUGGUUCUUAACGAAUCAUGCUCUUUAACAAUUUGGAAAGCUGACGAAUAACAACAAUCCCCUUAUCUACGGAUAAGCGUUGUUAUUCAAAUUAAAAGUUCUCAAAUCCUAAAACUGUGUUUUAAGUACCAACACACAUUCAAGUGUUCCUGGAAACAUCCUUGUGAUGUUUAAAUUUGAAGUCCGGCAAAAUCCAAUGUCUCUCGCUCAAUCAAUAAUGAGAGACACAAAACCUUGGUUGUUUGAACAUACAAGACCUCUUGGGGUUGUAU